AGACUAAGCCAUGCAUGUCUAAGUAUAAACGCUUCUAUACUGUGAAACUGCGAAUGGCUCAUUAAAUCAGUUAUAGUUUAUUUGAUGGUUCCUUACUACUUGGAUAACCGUAGUAAUUCUAGAGCUAAUACAUGCAGAAAGUCCCGACUUCUUGGAAGGGAUGUAUUUAUUAGAUCCAAAACCAGCGCGAGUUUCCUUCGGGGGCUCGGUUGCAUGGUGAUUCAUGAUAACUGCUCGAAUCGCAUGGCCUUGCGCCGGCGAUGAUCCAUUCAAAUUUCUGCCCUAUCAACUUUCGAUGGCAAGGUAGUGGCUUGCCAUGGUGACAACGGGUGACGGAGAAUUAGGGUUCGAUUCCGGAGAGGGAGCCUGA
rnacentral:rRNA from 1 species